UACGUAGGGUGCGAGUGUUAAUCGGAAUUACUGGGCGUAAAGCGUGCGCAGGCGGUUUUGCAAGACAGAUGUGAAAUCCCCGGGCUUAACCUGGGAAUGGCGUUUGAAACUACGGAGCUGGAGUGUGGCAGAGGGAGGUAGAAUUCCACGUGUAGCGGUGAAAUGCGUAGAUAUGUGGAGGAAUACCGAUGGCGAAGGCAGCCUCCUGGGCCAACACUGACGCUCAUGCACGAAAGCGUGGGGAGCAAACAGG
rnacentral:rRNA from 1 species